rnacentral:rRNA from 1 species
AUGAACGCUAGCUACAGGCUUAACACAUGCAAGUCGAGGGGCAGCAUGAACUUAGCUUGCUAAGUUUGAUGGCGACCGGCGCACGGGUGAGUAACACGUAUCCAACCUGCCGAUGACUCGGGGAUAGCCUUUCGAAAGAAAGAUUAAUACCCGAUGGCAUAAUUCUUCCGCAUGGUAGAACUAUUAAAGAAUUUCGGUCAUCGAUGGGGAUGCGUUCCAUUAGGUUGUUGGCGGGGUAACGGCCCACCAAGCCUUCGAUGGAUAGGGGUUCUGAGAGGAAGGUCCCCCACAUUGGAACUGAGACACGGUCCAAACUCCUACGGGAGGCAGCAGUGAGGAAUAUUGGUCAAUGGACGAGAGUCUGAACCAGCCAAGUAGCGUGAAGGAUGACUGCCCUAUGGGUUGUAAACUUCUUUUAUACGGGAAUAAAGUGAGGCACGUGUGCCUUUUUGUAUGUACCGUAUGAAUAAGGAUCGGCUAACUCCGUGCCAGCAGCCGCGGUAAUACGGAGGAUCCGAGCGUUAUCCGGAUUUAUUGGGUUUAAAGGGAGCGUAGGCGGACGCUUAAGUCAGUUGUGAAAGUUUGCGGCUCAACCGUAAAAUUGCAGUUGAUACUGGGUGUCUUGAGUACAGUAGAGGCAGGCGGAAUUCGUGGUGUAGCGGUGAAAUGCUUAGAUAUCACGAAGAACUCCGAUUGCGAAGGCAGCUUGCUGGACUGUAACUGACGCUGAUGCUCGAAAGUGUGGGUAUCAAACAGGAUUAGAUACCCUGGUAGUCCACACAGUAAACGAUGAAUACUCGCUGUUUGCGAUAUACAGUAAGCGGCCAAGCGAAAGCGUUAAGUAUUCCACCUGGGGAGUACGCCGGCAACGGUGAAACUCAAAGGAAUUGACGGGGGCCCGCACAAGCAGUGGAGUAUGUGGUUUAAUUCGAAGCAACGCGAAGAACCUUACCAGGUCUUGACAUCCGAUGCAUAGCGCAGAGAUGCGUGAAGUCCUUCGGGACAUCGAGACAGGUGGUGCAUGGUUGUCGUCAGCUCGUGCCGUGAGGUGUCGGCUUAAGUGCCAUAACGAGCGCAACCCUUAUCGAUAGUUACCAUCAGGUUAUGCUGGGGACUCUGUCGAGACUGCCGUCGUAAGAUGUGAGGAAGGUGGGGAUGACGUCAAAUCAGCACGGCCCUUACGUCCGGGGCUACACACGUGUUACAAUGGGGGGUACAGAAGGCAGCUACACGGCGACGUGAUGCUAAUCCCUAAAGCCUCUCUCAGUUCGGAUUGGAGUCUGCAACCCGACUCCAUGAAGCUGGAUUCGCUAGUAAUCGCGCAUCAGCCACGGCGCGGUGAAUACGUUCCCGGGCCUUGUACACACCGCCCGUCAAGCCAUGAAAGCCGGGGGUACCUGAAGUGCGUAACCGCAAGGAGCGCCCUAGGGUAAAACUGGUGAUUGGGGCU